UUCUCAUUAGUUCUCAGUGUUCCAGCAUAUUUAGGAAGUUUGAAAGCCUGAGUAUUUGAAGUGUUUUGACCAUGUCCCCAGUGAAAAAGAACAAGAGUAGAGAAAUGGCAGAAACGCUGUGUUUUUCCCAAUCUGUUCUAUUGAUGUGUUUUGUUUUUCUUUAGCUUGUUUUCUUCUAAAGGUCAGUGAAAUUUUCAGUUGCAUAAAUUUCAUUGACUUUCCUCAUUGCAGACAGGCUUUUGAGGGAGAUGCUGAGCUUACGUGCACUGCCUGUGCCAAACAGAAGAAAGCCUCCUCCCGUAAUCCCUCACCCAGUGUUUGUGCCAGGACUUUCAUCGCAAUAGCCCUGCUUUGAUGGCAACCAUUGAAGGAGAUAAAAAUGACAGCUUUGGAGCAGUAUCUUCAUGGAGCAUGAUGACUCUUGACAGCAGGAGACACAUUCACCUCCUGAAGGCUACGGAGCACCUGUGCCUGAACAGCAGACAAGGACCCAGUGGUUUCAGAUGGACACUCUGUUCUCCACUACCUCCUGCUCUCCUCUGGACUUCAGUGCUCAGGAAAGUCACUGCACUCCUGUGAUCUCUACCCAAGAAGGGCUGAAUCACUGAUUCAUAGUAAGUUGCACAAAACUCAUUUUAUAAUGACAGGGUUUCUUUGAGGCAAGCUCUACUAUCUUUGUAUGUGUAAGAUACUGCUGCUCUUUCCUGCUUCUUGCCAAAUCCAACAUCUUUUAUUUGCUUGCCA